CCUACGGGAGGCAGCAGUAAGGAAUAUUGGACAAUGGGCGCAAGCCUGAUCCAGCCAUGCCGCGUGCAGGAUGAAGGUGCUCUGCAUUGUAAACUGCUUUUGUUUGGGAAUAAACCCUUCUACGUGUAGAGGGCUGAAUGUACCAAAAGAAUAAGGGACGGCUAACUUCGUGCCAGCAGCCGCGGUAAUACGAAGGUCCCAAGCGUUAUCCGGAUUUAUUGGGUUUAAAGGGUGCGUAGGCGGGUUAUUAAGUCAGUGGUGAAAGCCUACAGCUUAACUGUAGAAUUGCCAUUGAUACUGAUGAUCUUGAGUAUGAUUGAGGUGGGCGGAAUGUGUCAUGUAGCGGUGAAAUGCUUAGAUAUGACACAGAACACCGAUUGCGAAGGCAGCUCACUAAGUCAUAACUGACGCUGAUGCACGAAAGCGUGGGGAGCAAACAGGAUUAGAUACCCUGGUAGUCCACGCCCUAAACGAUGAUCACUCGAUGUGUGCGAUACACUGUACGCGUCUGGNGNGAAGACAUAGUAGANCCGCCGUCGGAGGUACGACCGCGAGUAGAACGACGAAGAAGUUAGAGGCGNGAGAGNGCGACGGCGACACGAGGGAGGAGG
rnacentral:rRNA from 1 species